CGACGUCGAGUUGGCGGCGGAGAAAGACUCGGCAUUCAGGCGAGCCGCCCGGUGGUGUGGUACGUAGUGGGUUUAGUACGCCCCGCCAAAACAAAACGGCUCCGAAACAAACAAAAAGGUGCGUGCCGCACUCACGAGGGACUGCCAGUGAUAUACUGGAGGAAGGUGGGAUGACGUCAAGUCCGCAUGGCCCUUAUGGGCUGGGCCACACACGUGCUACAAUGGCAAUUACAAUGGGAAGCAAGGCUGUAAGGCGGAGCGAAUCCGGAAAGAUUGCCUCAGUUCGGGAUUGUUCUCUGCAACUCGGGAACAUGAAGUUGGAAUCGCUAGUAAUCGCGGAUCAGCAUGCCGCGGUGAAUAUGUACCCGGGCCCUGUACACACCGCCCGUCACACCCUGGGAAUUGGUUUCGCCCGAAGCAUCGGACCAAUGAUCACCCAUGACUUCUGUGUACCACUAGUGCCACAAAGGCUUUUGGUGGUCUUAUUGGCGCAUACCACGGUGGGGUCUUCGACUGGGGUGAAGUCGUAACAAGGUAAGCGUAGACGU
rnacentral:rRNA from 1 species